ACGCGGGUGCGGGCCGACGGGGUCGAAGCCACCCGGCCCGGCCCGGCCCGGCGA
rnacentral:miRNA from 1 species